rnacentral:SRP_RNA from 1 species
CACACGCCGUUGUGCAACAAGUUUGUCCGGCGCGACGGGACCGGGCUGGCAGGGUUCAUGGCCGGCGUGGCAGAGGGGCUAGUGUGCGCCAU